rnacentral:rRNA from 1 species
GCACUUUAAGCAGUGAAGAAGACUCCAUGGUUAAUACCCAUGGACGAUGACAUUAGCUGCAGAAUAAGCACCGGCUAACUCUGUGCCAGCAGCCGCGGUAAUACAGAGGGUGCAAGCGUUAAUCGGAAUUACUGGGCGUAAAGGGAGCGUAGGUGGCUCUAUAAGUCAGAUGUGAAAUCCCCGGGCUUAACCUGGGAACUGCAUCUGAAACUGUAGAGCUAGAGUAUGUGAGAGGAAGGUAGAAUUCCAGGUGUAGCGGUGAAAUGCGUAGAGAUCUGGAGGAAUACCGAUGGCGAAGGCAGCCUUCUGGCAUAAUACUGACACUGAGGCUCGAAAGCGUGGGUAGCAAACAGGAUUAGAUACCCUGGUAGUCCACGCCGUAAACGAUCUCUACUAGUCGUUGG